AUUGAACGCUGGCGGCAUGCUUUACACAUGCAAGUCGAACGGCAGCACGGGUGCUUGCACCUGGUGGCGAGUGGCGGACGGGUGAGUAAUACAUCGGAACGUAUCCAGAAGAGGGGGAUAACGCAUCGAAAGAAUGUGCUAAUACCGCAUAUUCUCUGAGGAGGAAAGCAGGGGAUCGAAAGACCUUGCGCUUUGGGAGCGGCCGAUGUCUGAUUAGCUAGUUGGUGGGGUAAAGGCCUACCAAGGCGACGAUCAGUAGUUGGUCUGAGAGGACGACCAGCCACACUGGGACUGAGACACGGCCCAGACUCCUACGGGAGGCAGCAGUGGGGAAUUUUGGACAAUGGGCGCAAGCCUGAUCCAGACAAUGCCGCGUGAG
rnacentral:rRNA from 1 species